GAUGAAGAACGUAGCGAAAUGCGAUACGUAAUGUGAAUUGCAGAAUUCAGUGAAUCAUCGAAUCUUUGAACGCACAUUGCGCCCGCCAGCACUCUGGCGGGCAUGCCUGUUCGAGCGUCAUUUCAACCAUCAAGCCCCAGGCUUGCGUUGGAGCCCUGCGGCUGCCGCAGCCUCCUAAAAGCAGUGGCGGGCUCGCUAUCACACCGAGUGCAGUAGAUUACUCUUCGCUCAGGGCGUGCAGCGGGUUCCGGCCGUUAAAAAGCCUUUUUUACCCAAGGUUGACCUCGGAUCAGGUAGGAAGACCCGCUGAACUUAAGCAUAUCAAUAAGCGGAGGA
rnacentral:misc_RNA from 1 species